rnacentral:rRNA from 1 species
CGAGGGGCAUCGGGGAGCGAAGCUUGCUUUGCUCCGCCGGCGACCGGCGCACGGGUGAGUAACGCGUAUGCAACCUGCCCGUUUCAGCGGGAUAACCCGGAGAAAUCCGGCCUAAUACCGCAUGUGGCCGAGGGGAGGCAUCUUCUUUCGGCCAAAGGAGGCGACUCCGGAGGCGGAUGGGCAUGCGUGACAUUAGCUAGUUGGCGGGGUAACGGCCCACCAAGGCGACGAUGUCUAGGGGUUCUGAGAGGAAGGUCCCCCACACUGGUACUGAGACACGGACCAGACUCCUACGGGAGGCAGCAGUGAGGAAUAUUGGUCAAUGGGCGAGAGCCUGAACCAGCCAAGUCGCGUGAAGGAUGACGGCCCUACGGGUUGUAAACUUCUUUUGUCAGGGAGCAAUUGAGUCCACGUGUGGGCUUAGCGAGAGUACCUGAAGAAAAAGCAUCGGCUAACUCCGUGCCAGCAGCCGCAGUAAUACGGAGGAUGCGAGCGUUAUCCGGAUUUAUUGGGUUUAAAGGGUGCGUAGGCGGAAUAUCAAGUCAGCGGUAAAAAUUCGGGGCUCAACCCCGUCGUGCCGUUGAAACUGAUGUUCUUGAGUGGGCGAGAAGUAUGCGGAAUGCGUGGUGUAGCGGUGAAAUGCAUAGAUAUCACGCAGAACUCCGAUUGCGAAGGCAGCAUACCGGCGCCCAACUGACGCUGAAGCACGAAAGCGUGGGUAUCGAACAGGAUUAGAUACCCUGGUAGUCCACGCAGUAAACGAUGAAUGCUAAUUGUCCGGAGGGAUUGACCUCUGGGUGAUACAGCGAAAGCGUUA